rnacentral:rRNA from 1 species
UUUCUGGUGCUUGCACUAGAAAAACUUAGCGGCGAACGGGUGAGUAACACGUAAAGAACCUGCCUCAUAGACGGGGACAACUAUUGGAAACGAUAGCUAAUACCGGAUAACAGCAUAAAUCGCAUGAUAUAUGUUUAAAAGUUGGUUUCGGCUAACACUAUGAGAUGGCUUUGCGGUGCAUUAGCUAGUUGGUGGGGUAAAGGCCUACCAAGGCGACGAUGCAUAGCCGACCUGAGAGGGUGAUCGGCCACACUGGGACUGAGACACGGCCCAGACUCCUACGGGAGGCAGCAGUAGGGAAUCUUCCGCAAUGGGCGAAAGCCUGACGGAGCAACGCCGCGUGAGUGAAGAAGGAUUUCGGUUCGUAAAGCUCUGUUGUUAGGGAAGAAUGAUUGUAUAGUAACUAUAUACAGUAGAGACGGUACCUAACCAGAAAGCCACGGCUAACUACGUGCCAGCAGCCGCGGUAAUACGUAGGUGGCAAGCGUUGUCCGGAAUUAUUGGGCGUAAAGCGCGCGCAGGUGGUUUAAUAAGUCUGAUGUGAAAGCCCACGGCUCAACCGUGGAGGGUCAUUGGAAACUGUUAAACUUGAGUGCAGGAGAGAAAAGUGGAAUUCCUAGUGUAGCGGUGAAAUGCGUAGAGAUUAGGAGGAACACCAGUGGCGAAGGCGGCUUUUUGGCCUGUAACUGACACUGAGGCGCGAAAGCGUGGGGAGCAAACAGG